GUUUAUGGGUGGCUCGUGUGGGAGGGGGAGACCCCUGCCGGUCCUAGUUCCGGUACGCCAACCUGCACGAGUCCGCCCACCCGA
rnacentral:antisense_RNA from 1 species